GGGGCGGUGGCGGAAUUGGCAGACGCAGGGGACUUAAAAUCCCCCGGUGCAAACCAUGUGGGUUCGAUUCCCACCCGCCCCA
rnacentral:tRNA from 1 species